GCAGGCAUUUUGACAUCAGGGAUGGGCAAAAACAUACAUCCAUUUAAGAAUUCUAGAAUCAGAGACUAGGAAGAGUUGAAACAACCUUACAGAUCACUUGAUGCACUUUAUAUAGACCCAGGGGAGAAACAAAAAGACCAACUACUAAAGCUGCUAAAACAAGAUAAAGCAUACUGCAAGGGAAAGGCUGGAGCAGUUCACUGGCUGAAGUUAUAAACUCCAUCAAGAGACACACAAUCAGAUGGCACAACUGUCUUCAGUGGGUCACAGUUUUCCAAAUACAAAGGCGGUGCCUACCGAAGCUCUGGGAUUCUGGAAAAUAUACUGGACUUGGAGACAAAUCAGAAUAAAACAAUUCAACUUUCAAGGUAUUAAAAGGAUUCACCAACUCCUAUCUCUUAACACAAUGGCCAAAAAACUGCUGGACUCAAGGCACAGUCAUGUAUUCCUGGCAUAAGGCCUGCCUGGGUGUUCUAACUCAAUGAGCCCCACAUGCCAGACUAUUUCCACAGAGCUGAUAUGGGACAGGAAGGGCUAAGGAACUUCAAAACUAAUAGUUUGGUGCAACUGAUAUGGACCUGUGCAGUCACUGACCACAUGUAGCACUGAGAACUUGAAAUGUUGCAAGUGUGACUGAGGAAGUGAAUUAUUAAAACUUAUUUUUAACUAAAUUUAAAAGGUGAUAGCUAAUUCAGUCACUAGAAA
ensembl:lncRNA TMEM108-AS1 TMEM108 antisense RNA 1